rnacentral:lncRNA from 12 species
GAAAAACUAAGGAAAUGAUCAACACACAGAGCAUGAGAUCAUGCACUUAUGAAAUAAAUGGAUUCUUCUGCCAGAGAAUAAUGACAUUCUUUAGGUGCCCACAGUUGGAAACGGAAGGGAAGAAGAGCUGGGGUGAGCCAGCCUCCAGCAGACUUGAGGAAAAAGAGAAGCACUCACAAGUACAUGAAGUGAGGUAUUCCCAAAAGAACAUCUCACAGAGCUCUCUGCUGUGUGAUGUCCUCUGUGGGGCUCGCUCACGCCUUGUUUACCUGCAAAGAGAACUGCCUGAGUGCCAGAGAUGUGCUUGCUGGAUCGGAACAGACACUGCUCUUUGUGCUCCCGAGAUAAGAGGUUGCAACAGUCAAGCUGUUUUUGUGCAUCUCAACCACAAACCAACAUCCUUUCUUGCAAGAACAACACCUGUGAGCUGUGCAGAGCCCUCUCAUUAUGAUGGUUCAGUGAUGGAACUGAAUCCAUGUCUGUCCAGAUGUGUUCUCAUGCUUUUCUCAGACAGAGUCAGCCUGUUUCUAUCUAUGUGCCAACUCAGUUUUAUAUACCGAAACAGGACUGACAGGGGACGACAAGAGACUUCAUCUCCCUCCUGUUACACUGAACAUCUUUGGCUGAUAUAAAUUGGCAACAACUCCAUUAAAGUCGGGACAGCUACAUCAGCUUUAUCAUGUUUGAUGGUCUGUCCUUCAUCUGUGUAACUCAGCUGAUGGCCACACAGGGACUUUUUUCCCAGCUGCACUGCUGAGAAAAUGACCUUGUUGUUGAUGGGAAAGUCGUGAGUCUUAUGACACAGUCAGAG